rnacentral:rRNA from 1 species
UACGAAGGGUGCGAGCGUUGCUCGGAAUUAUUGGGCGUAAAGGGUAGGUAGGUGGUGAUAUUUGUCUGGGGUGAAAUCCCUGAGCUUAACUCAGGACGUGCCUUGGAAACGGUAUCACUAGAGUACUGGAGAGGCUCGCAGAAUUCCUGGUGUAGCGGUGAAAUGCGUAGAGAUCAGGAGGAAUAUCAGAGGCGAAGGCGGCGAACUGGACAGUUACUGACACUCAACUACGAAAGCGUGGGGAGCAAACAGG